UACGGAGGAUGCAAGCGUUAUCCGGAAUUAUUGGGCGUAAAGCGUCCGCAGGUGGCACUUCAAGUCUGCUGUCAAAGACCGGGGCUUAACCCUGGAAAGGCAGUGGAAACUGAAGCGCUAGAGUGUGGCAGGGGUAGAGGGAAUUCCCGGUGUAGCGGUGAAAUGCGCAGAUAUCGGGAGGAACACCAAUGGCGAAGGCAGCUCGCUGGGACGGUACUGACGCUGAGACGCGAAAGCGUGGGGAGCAAACAGG
rnacentral:rRNA from 1 species